AGUUUGAUCCUGGCUCAGAUUGAACGCUGGCGGCAGGCUUAACACAUGCAAGUCGAGCGGAUGAAAGUAGCUUGCUACUGGAUUCAGCGGCGGACGGGUGAGUAAUGCUUAGGAAUCUGCCUAUUAGUGGGGGACAACGUUCCGAAAGGAGCGCUAAUACCGCAUACGUCCUACGGGAGAAAGCAGGGGACCUUCGGGCCUUGCGCUAAUAGAUGAGCCUAAGUCGGAUUAGCUAGUUGGUAGGGUAAAGGCCUACCAAGGCGACGAUCUGUAGCGGGUCUGAGAGGAUGAUCCGCCACACUGGGACUGAGACACGGCCCAGACUCCUACGGGAGGCAGCAGUGGGAAUAUUGGACAAUGGGGGGAACCCUGAUCCAGCCAUGCCGCGUGUGUGAAGAAGGCCUUUUGGUUGUAAAGCACUUUAAGCGAGGAGGAGGCUACCUAGAUUAAUACUUUAGGAUAGUGGACGUUACUCGCAGAAUAAGCACCGGCUAACUCUGUG
rnacentral:rRNA from 1 species